AGGACGAACGCUGGCGGCGUGCUUAACACAUGCAAGUCGAGCGGAAAGGCCCUUCGGGGUACUCGAGCGGCGAACGGGUGAGUAACACGUGAGUAAUCUGCCCCUAGCUCUGGGAUAGCUCCGGGAAACCGGGAUUAAUACCGGAUACGACCACCUUAGACAUCUUUGUGGUGGAAAGAAUUUCGGCUAGGGAUGAGCUCGCGGCCUAUCAGCUUGUUGGUGGGGUAACGGCCUACCAAGGCGACGACGGGUA
rnacentral:rRNA from 1 species